UUCGUUUGUGCUGCUAUAGUUUUUGAGAUAUUACAAAUUUUAUUUUUGGGCGAUGAUGUCAUCAUCCCCCCAGUUUGCUCCAAAAUAUACCAGACUUGUCUACUUUUUUAGUGCUUCGUUUGUGCUGAUUUGUGCCGGUAAAAUUUUCGUUUGUGCUGCUAUCGUUUUUCGGAUAUUAAAGAUUAUGUUUUAGGUCAUUCAGAGGUCAUCAUCCCCCCAGCUUGCUCCAAAAUGAACCAGACUUGUCUACUUUUUUAGUGCUUCGUUUGUGCUGAUUUGUGCCGUUAAAAUUUUCGUUUGUGCUGCUAUCGUUUUUCAGAUAUUACAAGUUUUAUUUUUGGGCGAUGACGUCAUCAUCCCCCCAGCUUGCUCCAAAAUAUACCAGACUUGUCUACUUUUUUAGUGCUUCGUUUGUGCUGAUUUGUGCCGUUAAAAUUUUCGUUUGUGCUGCUAUAGUUUUUCAGAUAUUAUAAGUUUUAUUUACAGACGAUCACGACCCGAAUUGAUGACGUCUGUGGUCUGCGCCAUAGACAUCAACACCACCGUCCGUGGCUGUCAACAGCGGCAGCGUUCUGCGCUUCCUACAGAAUGUUGUACUACUUAUCUGUUAUUAAAUCAGCGACAAAGUGAAGUUGUCGGAUGUUACCAAUACAAGAAGGAAUGAAACUUCUGCUGGACACUGAGAAUGCUCCAGGAUUGGCCUGAGGCAGGGAGACUGGGGCAGCCGGAGUCCUUCUUCCACAGCAGUGUCAAGCUGAGCCACACCAGAAUUCCUCAGAACAGAAAGGUCAGGAGAAACAAGUGGCACUUCCCUUGUCAUUCCUUUGCUGAGGUAACAGUACUGUGAAGAGCAGUGUUUUGUGAGAUACACACUGGAUACAUUUCUCAUUGUUUUUGCAAUGACAGUAGAGAUGUUGCACUGUGCAUCAACUUGGAGGGCACCGGACCUCAACUGGACUGCUUCAAACAUUGUACUAAGCAGCUCUGCCCUCUGUGAGUAUGUCUGUUUGGCGACCCCAUCUGUGACGACAGCUUUCACCAGCUGCAAGACUGGGUUGUCACCAUCUCUCCUAACAGCAUUUUGAAAUGCAGAGCUGUCACAGAAAGCACAACAUAAAGCCUGACAAAACGCAUCAAAUGUGCAGGUGUUCAACACAGAGAUCAUUGAUUUGCCAAGUCUAAUAGGCUGAUGAAGGUUUCCAUUUUUUAAUAAUCCCACCUUCACUCUUUUGGCCCCAAAAGAUGGAUCUACGUGGAGCCACUCAGCGCAAGGAGAGAGGUAGGAAGUCCUCUUCCUUUUUUUGGGUGGAACCACUAGGCCUCUCCAGUUUUCGACCGCUUCAUCAUCUGCUGAAGGAAUGUUUGUGGCAGCAUCACAUUCCACAAAAGGGUGAACAUCCAUUUUUUUCUUGCCUUCCGCACUGUGGGUAGUCAUGGAUGCUGGAUUGGCUUCUGUGACUAUCACAGAUGCCGCUGUUGCCUCAUCUUUCAUUUCUUUUGCAGAGCAAAUCCGCAUAUUUCCUUCAAUGAAAGACAGAUGACGAGCAAUGAAGCGAUCAACUCGAACAGGCAAGUUUUCAUGUUUGAAAAGGCCAUGUUUUAUAUUUUUGAACUCUGCUUCAGCAGUGGCUGAGCUUGCUGUGAUGCUGGUGCUUUGGAAGAGAGGGACCAUUAUUCCUGUCCAGAGAGGUCAGUCUGGAUCUCAUCACAUGGAUCCACUGUUUUCAUUUCCUCUCUAUCUUCUCCUGGAGUGAUGAUGGAGUCCUCUGCAAUUUGGGCUUUUAGGUAUUUCUUGCACCUUUCUGAUGCGAGAGGGACUCCAGAACUGUCGUCACCCUCUGCCUCACUGAGGGCAACAACAGUGAUAGCACGCAAUCCCACUGGCAGAUCAUCUUGAUGCAGUGUGCAACAUCAACCCUGACAAAACAAGGGGGAAGUUUUGCAGACUGGUUCCCACCAUUUGCACCACUGGGACACUGGAGCAGUUGUGUGCUGUCAGAACACCUUGAUAAAGGAAGAUAUGGCCAGAUGUACCAUUUGGUCUCACCAGUUUUCUCACUACUGAGCCAGUUGCAUCAAAACACACUGCUGGGGUGGCCAAAUUUGGUAGGUGGCUUGGCUCAGGAUCUCCAACAUCCAUUAGAUCUGCUGCCUUUGCUGACCUCCAUACAGCUGGUUCCAUCCUGCCCUCACACAGCUCUUUCGCAAUCUGCUCACGCAGGUUUCCAGACAUGAACCGCUUGGAACGGCCAGUGUGCAGCGAGAUGUCUGUAUUUUUUAUGUCACACUGAAACAUCAUUGGGCUAUUAAUUGCUGGCUCUCUGCCACAUUUCAUUUCCAAAUGGCCAUUGCACUCCUUACAGUAGCCUCUAAUCUGUAUGUAAGCAUUGGUGACAGUUGGAUAAACCUUGGCUCUUUGGAACACAAAUGUGCAUGAGUUUUUUAUCUUCUUCCACAAUAAAUUAUUUAUGAGAUGAGUCCAAGUGCCAGGUUUCAAAACUGUGUAUUCCCUUUUCUGAGAUGGAGAAAACUUGUCUUUGUAUUGCACUUUUUCUGGAAUAAAUUUAAUCCAUUCCUCAAAAGGCACUUCCAGCUGAAAAGCUUGACAAUCUUUUUGUUCAGGAGAAAUGCAACCUGAGUCUGACUCCAUGUCAACAGUACUGUCUGGAUCACUUUCCUGGUCACUAAAUUCCAAAACUGACCAGAUGUUAUGUCUGUUCAGCUUCACAAAAGUGUACAGGGCCUUUGCAGACAUCUUGCCUUCUAACUGCUGACUCAGCUCUGUCCAGACAGUGGCAGCUGGAGUGGCUAUUUUGCCAUUGUUGACUAUGGCCUCUUUUGAAGUGCAGAGAACAGCAAAAAUUGAAUCCCUGUCUACUGAUGGCUUUCGGGGCAUCUAGUUAAAAAAAAAAAAAAACGAUGAUUAGCACUGAUCAAAACAUUAAUUCUGGCCUAUAUAAUCUUCCUGGAGACACAAAGCAUAUCAGUCUCCAGCAAUCUACAUGCUUACUUGGGUCUUUUGUGCAUUUACAAAUGAAGUGUUUCCUGUUUAAUUUUGAAAAUGUUAGCGAUACCAUGUUAGCUAAAUCAUGUUAACUUGGAAUUUUACUGCAUUAUUUUUGCUAAAACCUCGGUAUUUUACAAGUGCACUUACCAUGUCUAGAAAUCAGAUUUAUCUGAAGGUUGUAAAAAUACCACUGAAACGGUAAAAUUGUGAAAAGGUCAUCCAAUGUGUGUGUCUUGUGAAAUGGCUGUGAAAGACUGCUAUUUUGUGUCGUUCUUAGUGGGGAGUGCUGAAUGUUUUUUUUUUUUAAAUGCUUCAUGCUCCUAAAUAAACUUUGAAGCAGUUUCAUUUAUUGUCUUAUGACAGAAAUGUGAUUGGCAAAGUAAAUAUAAAGCACAGUUCAUUAAAAAUGUAAAUUAGUAACAUAAAUACACAUUCUACGUUUAUUUAACCAAAUUUUAUUGAACAAAUGUACACACAAAGGCACAAAGUCAGUUCAAAGAGACAUUUUCCAGCAAUAACAGGUUGAACAUCCUCAGAUGUUAUUACAGUAGUUCUAUACACAUUAUAUACAUUAAGACGUUAUAAACGUGGCAGACCACAGACUUCAAUUCGGGUCAUGUGAUCGUCUGUAAAUAAAACUUGUAAUAUCUGAAAAACGAUAGCAGCACAAACGAAAAUUUUAACGGCACAAAUCAGCACAAACGAAGCACUAAAAAAGUAGACAAGUCUGGUUCAUUUUGGAGCAAGCUGGGGGGAUGAUGACCUCUGAAUGACCUAAAAAAUAAUCUUUAAUAUCCGAAAAACGAUAGCAGCACAAACGAAAAUUUUACCGGCACAAAUCAGCACAAACGAAGCACUAAAAAAGUAGACAAGUCUGGUAUAUUUUGGAGCAAACUGGGGGGAUGAUGACAUCAUCGCCCAAAAAUAAAAUUUGUAAUAUCUCAAAAACUAUAGCAGCACAAACGAAAAUUUUACCGGCACAAAUCAGCACAAACGAAGCACUAAAAAAGUAGACAAGUCUGGUAUAUUUUGGAGCAAGCUGGGGGGAUGAUGACGUCAUCGCCCAAAAAUAAAACUUGUAAUAUCUGAAAAACUAUAGCAGCACAAACGAAAAUUUUAACGGCACAAAUCAACACAAA